ensembl:lncRNA
UAGCGGGACUCCCUUCCCCUCUGGUCAUUCUCCCGUCUUCUCUGGCCUGCUCUCUUCCCAGGAAAGAGGACUUCUAUGCAGGACUACAUUACCCAAAUUCCCUUGCCAGCUUCAGUUUGGGGCCAGCCAAUGGGAGGAAGUGCCAGGGAACCAGUAGGCGGGAGAAGAAAGACUACAGAACUUCCUUCCUGCCCCCUCCGACUUCUGCCUCCCUCACUGGCAGCAACCCAACCCCUCCAUUGCUGACCUCUGCCCACCUCUACCAGUGGUCCUUCCUCUGCUGCAGCAGUGACACUAUUUUCUUCCUUUGUUCUUCCAACCCCAGUUAUAGGGUUGGUGCCUCAGGAAAUAACUGCUUUGGGAGAGAAGGACCAGGGGAAGAAGAGAGUGGCCUGCCUGCCUUCUGCUGUUUUCUCAAAUGGCAAGGUGCCAUACACAGGAGUAGCAUGUCCUGAAUUCCAUCAUUAACUACUCUCUUCAUCUUUAGGAAAUGUGGGAAAUUCCAUUUGCCGAAGAUUGGUCUCCAGCAAAGAGAAUACAAAGAGAAUGCUCUUCACAUUUCUAGAGGGAUUAAAGUGGGUUAUUCUUUAACACUGAAAGAAUCCUUUUAUAGGUCAUCAGAAAAAACAAAACAAGCAAGCACUGAAAUAUAUUACCCUGGGAGCCAAUGUAGGUUUCCCAGACUCAGAAAGUUUAAAAAAAAAAUGUUUUUUGAAAUAAACCCGUUUCUUUAAUCUGCUCACUCACACUCCAAGUAUCCUUUGGGUUUCUCAGUUUAUAAGCACCUGGUACCUUCAUGCUCUCUCUUUUAAGCCUCAAUAAAAAACUAAAAUUAUGUUUUGGAUACAUCCUAGGAUAGAAAUGAUAAUAACAUAAAGCAUUUACUGGCAGAACGCUGCUGUGGUUUUAAAGUUUGUGUCCCUCCAAAAUUCAUGUUGAAGCCUCAUCUCCAAUGCAAUGGUAUUAAGAGGUAGAGCCUUUAGGAGGUCAUUGGGACUUGAGGGCUCCUGCUUUGUGAAUGGGAUUCAGGCCCUUAAAAAGAGACUUCAUACAAUGCUGGGCCCUUUUUGACCUUCCUCCCUUCUGCUAAGUGAGAACACUGUGUUCAUCCCCUAAGGAGGAUGUGCAUCUUGAAGCAGAGAGGAGCUCUCACCAGACCCUGAACUGGCCAGCACUUUGAUCUUGCACGUCCCAGCUUCCACAACUGUGAGAAACAGAGUUCUAUAGUUUUUAAUUUGCCUAAUCUGUGGUGUUGGAAAUGGGUUUAUAACAUCUGGAACAAUCCACACCGAGACAAUGGAUUAGUAGCAAGGGUAGUUUACUUCCUGCAGAAAGGGUGCAACUGGCCAGCAGUCUUGCCAGGAGAGCACACCUGAACAAGGAAGAGAAGGACAUUUGUAACUUUCAUAAACUGACGCAAUCGCCCUACUGCUGUGUGCAGUUUUCAUUGGCCAGAACGAGACCUCACAUUCUAUGCUCGACCCAAUUCGCUAAAAACUUGGAAAUUUUCUAAGAGGGUAAAGGCAAAGGAGAACAAAGGAAAAGAGGGAGUAACUUCAGGAAUGCAUAGAGAAGGAUACCAUUUCCAAAUAAGGAAGGGGACUAAGCUAUGACCUAAGACUUGCCUGGGCUUGUCCAGGCAUGUCAGGGCAAAUAUCUAGAUUAAAGUGUAAGAAUGAAGAACACGGGAUGCACUUAUUUCUUCAUUAUGACUAACAACUACUUUAAGAUUAUUAGGAAAAACUUUAAAGUAAAUUAACCUUUGAAGAAACUGUUAUUUAUUCAUUAUGAACUAGGAGGAAAGCUCUGAAGAUGAACCUUUUAUUUAUUCCCAUUUCCUACAUGUGGUAUUCUCUUAUAAUAGCACAAAUGAACUAAGAUAAAGGCCAUUUGUAUUUAAUAGGGAAAAAAAAGUUUGGAGUUGAAGGAAUAACUUUUUCUGAGACUGUUGAGUACAGCCAUGGGUGGAGCAAUUUGUCAGAGAUUUGAGCCUUCUCAUUUCACUCUCUGCUGCCAUAAAAGCUACCUAUGCUUGAGUCAGCCCAAAGCUGGACUUCUUUUUACCACAGAGAUAAGAUUCAUGGUCUGACCAGUUACUAUAACACACAGAAUUCAUCAAGGUAGGAGGGAGUGAGAAGUUGAGAAAAAGAGCCUUUGAGCAGACAGGGAGAGGACCUAUUGGUUUAGCAAGAUUCAAAAUACUUUCCAGAGAAGACUUCAAAGAUACACAGUUUAGAUUGUGAGUCCCCAUCCUAUGGAGUAUCUCUGACUUCCUUUAGUGUGAUUCUGUCAUGGUCUAUAAAGUCUACCUUAAAAUUAAUUUUUGAAGAAAUGGAAUGGCCUCACCACCAUCUGCUUCUCACAUUCCUGUGCACUUGGAGCUGGAAGCCCCUGGAGUGCUGAGCCUGGAAUGCCAGGGCUUAUAUUAACAAUUUCAUGAGGUUAACAACUGUGACUUUCUUCCUUCUUUACCUUCAUGCUGCAUUUAUUAUUGCCCUAAUGGUUCUGUUAAUUGAGGAAUAGAAUGAGAGUAAGCACAAUGCCAACAAGGGACAAAGGACAGAAACUUGUGUUUUCUAGAAAAUAACGGAGCAGGAAAAUCUUUUGGUUCUUUGGUGGUUCCAGAGGAAAUUAUUUUCUGUACCUCAGCUAGUUGUCAAGUUCCAAGCAAGUGGGAAGAUCAGAUAUUUAGCCCUGUCCUGGUCUUAGCUAAUUUGGUGUGCUGAGUGGUUGCUGAUGUGUAACUGGCCAGAGGUUUAGAGGUAGAACUACCUCCUAAGCCCUGCUUUCAGAUGCAGAUAACCAAGACACUGUCCUCUGUGGCUUUAUGUCAAAAGGAGACCUCUACUGAAGAGUUUAAACCAGAGCUGACUAGUCACUUGGAGGAAUAAGUAGAAAAAAGAAAUGCUUAUCACUUUAUACCUUAGAGAGAAGAGGCCAAGAACAGUUGCUUUGUGUAAUUAAGAGAACUAGGCCCAGUAAAAGACCAGGUUGCUUUGGAGUGGUUAACCUUAGGGAGCAAGAAAAUUCUACAGCAGUCCAAGAAAAUAAGAUGAAAGCAGCACACGGGGGCUUCCUAACAUGACCGAGGUUUCUGUCAAUUUGAGCAGCAUUCCUAGAAUCCCCCAGCACUACUUCCUAAUUUGACCUUUCGUGAUUUGAGGCCUUAAACCACAAAACCAAACUACAAACCCUAUAAAACUUUGGCACAAGAGGGUGGACUCAGGAGGAUUUUUAUCCAUAAGCCUAUAUUUUCUGGCUUUUGCUGGCUUAUGUGUUAUCCUUAAAAUAUCUGGAAGACAUUUUUGAUCAUUUGUGAUUUACUCUGAAGGUCUCGGGCUAAACCAGCAGAAAUUGCUCUUUUGGGGAUCAUUUCACACAAUGGAGUCUAGAAAAUUAGGAAUCCCUUAAGUUAGUAAAAUGAAAUGUUCAAAAGCAGUGAAUCUUGGGAUUUUCUGAGGUCUUAUGGAGACUGUGCAGACUGGUGCAAAAACCCAAAUUAUUAUUACAUAUAUAAAGUACAAGUGUGAAUCUGCAUUCAAAUCUUAUCCCGACUUUUCAAAUAAUUACCAAAUGUACACUUUCCUAUUCAUAAGGGUGUAGGGUUGUCAUGCUUAGUCCAUAAGACUCUUCUUUGUAAUUCUUGUACUCAGUUUUUAUUUUCUUCUCUGAACUCCUAUAGUAUGAACACUGGUCUAUAAUCAGCAAAUAUCUGCUGCUGGAAGCAGAGUCACUCCAGCUAUUUUAAGCAGAAAGGGAUUUAAUACAGAGAUUUGGAUGCUCAUAGCAUUGUUGGAAGGUUUACCAGAAUGAGCUUCAGGCUGAAUAUCUAGGAGUACUGUGAAUCAGACCUCCUAACCAGCC